GCCAGGUGUGGUGGCGCACUCCUGUAAUCCCAGCUACUGGGGAGGCUGAGGCAGGAGAAUCGCUUGAGCCCGGGAGGUGGAGGAUGCAGUGAGCCAAGAUCACACCACUGCACUCCAGCCUGGGCAACAAGAGCGAAACUCUGUCUCAA
rnacentral:SRP_RNA from 1 species